rfam:Ipomoea nil DNA, scaffold: scaffold0164, cultivar: Tokyo-kokei standard.
GUUGGAGUAUCUCAGUUGGAUAGAGCGUGUGGUUGUUAUCCACAAGGUCGAAGGUUCAACUCCUUCCUCUAGCA